GCUCACUCUCAACCAUCACGAGAUCACGACCUAACUCAAAAUCAAGAGUCAGAUGCUUAACUGACUAAGCCACCCAGGCGCCCCUGUUAGAGUCCUUUAAAGAAGACAAUAGUCCAAGGAGAAUGGAAGAGAAGGAAGGAACAUCAACAUCAACAAAAGAAGGAAGUGUGAUGUGGGUCUUAAAAAUGAGGUAGGAUUGGGAUGUGAGGAGCAUCUCUCUACAACAUCUUGCCUGCUGGUGCCAUGAUCCUGAAUAUUCAGUCACAGCCGGAACUGCUGGCAUGCACCACUGCCAUUGGUAGGUGGUAUUACCUGUGAUCUGAUCUCUUGCAUCUUGGACUGUGGCUGGUGGCCCUCCAUCUCAUGUGGUCUCACUCUGUUCCUGCUGAUUUGAAAGGCCCGUGACUCCCGUUCAUCUGCCACAACAUCAAAACACUCUUGCUCAGAAAUAGAGCUCCCCAAACUCUCAGUUUCCUCUGUGUUGAAUCCACACCACUGGAGCACCAAAGGCAAACAAGAAACACUAAAGCAUCAGAUAAGCCUGUCUCUUCCACCACAUGACACCACCAGGAUUACUUUGAGGAAGCUGUCCCAGAGGUGAUGUGGGAAGUGGUUGCCUUCUGGAGUCCCAGGUAGGGGUACAACAGAACUCUCAUGGCAUUGAAGACUCCAAGUUACCUAGAUGUUCCUAAAGCUACCCACUGUCCUUCAAGGUUGGCCUUGAGGCUGAGAUAAGAGGAGAACAAAGGACUGUGAGGAGCUCUUGCUCUACAGGCCUCUAUUAGGCAGCAGGGAAGGGGAGUUUCCUCCUUCCUGCCAGGUGGGGGACUCAUUUCUACACCUGGCCUUCCUGCGCCUGCUUCAAAUUGUUCUUGGACGUGGCCCAUUGCCUGCAGAGAAAAAAGGUAUAGGACAACCACGCAUUGUGUAACAUAUUACAUCUCAGAGGGAAGUUGCCUGGAACUCUCCUCAGCUGGUUUAUAAAGGAGAAGGUAAAAGAAUGGGACACGGGAUACUUAAGUUUUACAAAGUUGUUCAAGAGCAGGGAUGGCAAACAGGCUUCUUCCACAGAAGAUGGCAAUCUUCUUUCAUCAGCUGGCAAUCCCACUUAAUGAGUAGAAGCUGCUAGAAUGAAGCCAAAGCCUUAAUCUGGGCUCCGUGGCAAAGAGUGGCACGAGUUUUGAGCAAGCCUGGAAGGGGAAUUGGCCCACACACGGGCCAUGUGUUUCCUAUUUACCCUACGGGAGAGUGCCAAGGUAUGGCACUUUGAGAUUCAAUGGACUCAGAUUAUAUUCCUUAAUGUUUCAUACCACAGUGAGUACACAGGCUGCCUGAAGUAGCAAGUGGGGGCAGGAGGUGAACAUAAAAAGUGUCCAUACUUCAAAUUCAAGAAAGAUUGACUACUCUUUGAUCGUAGGAACAAGUAACUACCAGAUUCAGUUGUAAACUCUUCCCAAUUAAUGACAACUCUGAAAUGGUAAUCAAGCUUCUGAAAGCCAGCCAAUAGCAGCAGCCAGUUUUAGUAACUGCUUUCCAUGGCCAAUCCCUGACCACUCCUGCUUCUGAGAGGCCACCAAUCUCUGAGUGCCUAGCUUCUCCAAGCCCCAUAUAAGAGCAAGCAUCUGCUCUCUUCAGAGUCCGUGUUCAUUGGUUUUUUGCUUAGAAAGUAAUGCAUUCUGCUCU